ACUUCUACACAUUUCAUGCUUAUACUUAAUCUACAGAUCGCAAGGUUGUUUUAUAUUAUCCCCUUAUAGUGUUCCAUGUGUAUUGUAGCUGAGUUUCAGAUACGGUAUUUUCUCAUAGUGUAAACUCAGGCAGAUGAAUAGCUGGAGAGUGGGUGGAUGGAUGGGUGAGUAUAUGGGUAGAUAAAUGGAUGAGUGGAUGGGUGGAUUGGUGGGUGAGUGGAUAGGUGAAUGGAUGAUAGGUGGUGGAUGGUUGAGUGGGUGGAUUCAUGAUGGAUGGAUGGAUGGAUGGAUGGAUGGAUGGAUGGAUGAGUGGAUGGAUAAUAGGUUGAUGGGUGGAUAGGUAGAUGAGUGAAUAGAUAGAUAUAGAUCAGUGGGAGGAUUGGAAAGUAGGUGAAUGAAUGGAUGGCAGAUAGAUGGAUCAAUUACAGAUGGAUGGAUGCAUGGAAUAGAUAGGUGGAUGGGUGGUGGCUAGAAGGUGCCUGAGUCUGCACAUCACUGCACUGAGAAGGCAAAUGAGUACAUUAUACUAUUAGCACCAAACCCCAAGCUUCAGUAUUUAGAUUUUAUUUACUAAGAUGCUAUUAGAAGUUGGAUGUUUUCAUCCCAGUACAUUUUUAACACAUCAAAUCAUUUAUGAGCAUAGGAUGAUGAGGGUGUGAAAG
rnacentral:lncRNA from 1 species